CACCACAUCUGUACAGUGGUAUCU
rnacentral:snRNA from 1 species